rnacentral:rRNA from 1 species
UGGGGAAUUUUGGACAAUGGGCGCAAGCCUGAUCCAGCAAUGCCGCGUGCAGGAUGAAGGCCUUCGGGUUGUAAACUGCUUUUGUACGGAGCGAAAAGGUCUGCCCUAAUACGGUGGGCUCAUGACGGUACCGUAAGAAUAAGCACCGGCUAACUACGUGCCAGCAGCCGCGGUAAUACGUAGGGUGCGAGCGUUAAUCGGAAUUACUGGGCGUAAAGCGUGCGCAGGCGGUUAUAUAAGACAGAUGUGAAAUCCCCGGGCUCAACCGGGGGCCUGCAUUGGUGACUGGAUAGCUGGAGUACGGAAGAGGGAGAUGGAAUUCCGCGUGUAGCAGUGAAAUGCGUAGAUAUGCGGAGGAACACCGAUGGCGAGGGCGAUCCCCUGGGCCUGUACUGACGCUCAGGCACGAAGGCGUGGGAAGCAAACA